rnacentral:pre_miRNA from 1 species
CCUUAAGGAUGAGCAAAGGAAGUGGUUUCCUGAGAAAAAACCUACUCCUGGUGAAGAUGCUAUGAA